CGAUCCCUGUCCUGUGCGUGAUAGGUUCGUUUAAAACCCACAAAGCAAAUAAGGGAUGCUGACUCUCUCGGUGAAUUGCAGGCCUCCCGCACCGUAACCAAUCGGUCGCGGAAGUUGGAAGCAGAGAAGCCGACAGGAGGCAACCCACCUGCCGCAUGGCGGGUUUGCUGCGGGCUUACACGGCAGGAUGGGGGGACG
rnacentral:other from 1 species